rnacentral:tRNA from 1 species
GGAGGGUACAGCUCAGUGGUAGAGUGUGUGCUUAGCAUGCUUCACGUCCUGGGUUCAAUCCCCAGUCCUUCCA